rnacentral:rRNA from 1 species
GACGAACGCUGGCGGCGUGCUUAACACAUGCAAGUCGAACGGAAAGGCCUGCUUUCCCUUGUGGAUUGCGGGUACUCGCGUGGCGAACGGGUGAGUAACACGUGAGUGAUCUGCCCCCAACUUUGGUAUAAGCCUGGGAAACUGGGUCUAAUUCCCGAUAGGACUGCAGGGUGGUGCCGGUGGUGGAAAACGAUUUUCUAGUGGUCGGGGAUGAGCUCGCGGCCUUUCAGCUUGUGGGUGGGGUAAUGGCCUACCAAGGCGGCGACGGGUAGCCGGCCUGAGAGGGUGGCCGGGAGAAUUGGGCCUGAGACACGGCCCAGACGCCUACGGGAAGCAGCCGUGGGGAAGAUUGAGCGAUGGGCAGAAGCCUGAUGCAGCGAGGCUGAGUGGGGAAUGACGGGCUUCGGGUUGUAGACUCCUUUCGACCGCGAGGAAGCCACCUGGUUGGAAGGGUGGUGACGGUAGUGGUAGAAGAAGCACCGGCUAACUACGUG